rnacentral:rRNA from 1 species
CCUACGGGUGGCAGCAGUGAGGAAUAUUGGUCAAUGGACGAGAGUCUGAACCAGCCAAGUAGCGUGAAGGAUGACUGCCCUAUGGGUUGUAAACUUCUUUUAUAAAGGAAUAAAACGAGGCACGUGUGCCUUUUUGCAUGUACUUUAUGAAUAAGGAUCGGCUAACUCCGUGCCAGCAGCCGCGGUAAUACGGAGGAUCCGAGCGUUCUCCGGAUUUAUUGGGUUUAAAGUGAGCGUAGAUGGGUUGUUAAGUCAGUUGUGAAAGUUUGCGGCUCAACCGUAAAAUUGCAAUUGAUACUGGCAGUCGUGAGUACAGUUGAGGUAGGCGGAAUUCGUGGUGUAGCGGUGAAAUGCUUAGAUAUCACGAAGAACCCCGAUUGCGAAGGCAGCUUACUAAACUGUGACUGACAUUGAUGCUCGAAAGUGUGGGUAUCAAACAGGAUGAGAUACCCCUGUAGUC